rnacentral:tRNA from 1 species
AGGGCAGUAGCUCAGUCAGGUCAGAGCUCACGGUCUGGGCCCGUGAGGCCAUCGGUUCGAAUCCGGUCUGCCCUA